UUCUUUUUCUUCUCAGUCGGUUAGAGCAUGGUGCUGAUAACACCAAGGUUGAGGGUUCGAUUCCCGUAUGGGACA